rnacentral:lncRNA from 1 species
CGAAUGGCACUGGAAGAAUUCACGGGGUACCAUUUUCUAAACACCCGUGGACUUUGAGUGCCAUCCUCAGGGGCGCAAAAAAAAUUCGUCAAAGAUUUUUUUAAAAGUGUUUAGUGUUCGAAAAACAAAAACCAAGUGAUCUUGAAACAGAAAAAAACGUUUUUUCUUCUUAUCCUAACGGUAGUUUUCUUUAACUUUAGAGUAGGAAAUCGGAAUCCUGUUAUUAUAAAUGACUAAUCCGAAUUCCACGUGUUGAAAAAAAUAAUAUCAGUAUAAAAUUGAUUUAAUUUUAUCGGAUUUCAAGAAUUCUUUUUAUACAAAGUGUGAGAAUGUUGCAACUUUUGAAUAACGGCGAACAAACGUCUUUUGGGUAAUAUAGAACAAUGAUGUAGGAAAGAUAGAGAGGCGGCGGUGGCGAUGAGGAGGACGCCGCGCGGUCGUUUUCUGAACCGUGAAAGAAAGCAACCUGGGAACGGAUCUGAUCGUCGGACAACGACGGGAAAAAACCGGGACUGGUUUCAAUGUAAGACGAAACUACAGCCGUAUCGCGUUUUAAACUCUCCCCCUUUUAUCAUCAUACUUCUUCAUCCUUCAUAUGGUGAGCCGGUCAAAACAACAAUAUCAGCUGCGAUGCCGAAAAACUACGCCACGUAUUUAUAUCCAUACUUAUAUUCUAUAUACCAACAUUAUAUGGUGUGUAACACGUUGUAUGUAUGUUAUUAUGUAGUGUGACUGUUCGUGUUGACCUUGUUCGUUACAAAAAAAACUCGCCUACUUUUUUUUUUCUAAAUUUUUUUAUAAAUAAUUAUUAACGCGGUUACUUCUCCCCUACUUUACCUCUUCGUAAUUGUCAUCCUACCGAGAAUCCACACGGUCAACGAACCGGGAACUAAAAACCGACCGCCAUCUAAAACCAUCAUCAUCAGCAGCAACAGCACCACCAACAAAUAACAACAGGUGCGAAACAAAAGGGACUUUCCAUUGUUUUAUAAUUUUUUCUUCCUUCUUUUUUUUUACGUCAUCUUUUUUCAUCCUUUCUAAUCCAUUAUAAAUCUUAAACCCCUUUAAAUUUCUAUCAAUGUUUGUAACAUAUUUGUUUAUUGUAAUAAUUUUUUUUAUUUAUUCUCGGUGAAAAAGAGAAAGAAGGGUCUUCUAUCUAUUUAAGUUGCCUGGUGUUGAUAGCUUCGAACCGUGACGGUGGCUCCCCCCUUGUCACGGACUACCAAUUCCGACUAGAAAAUGUUGUGGAAUGAGAGCGAAGCGUAUAGGUGGCGUGAUGAUUCCCCGACACGGUUUUGUGAUCGCAUUUGUAACUAAUUUCUUCUAUUUUUUUUUAAUUUAAAAUGUUUAUUUCAACAUUUCAUUCUAACAUUAGUUUACAUCUUUUUAUGUUGGUCAACGUGCAUCAAGAAUAUUUUUAAAGUAUAUUUUAGGUUAUAAAAUUAAUUUUUCCUGUAUAAUUGUAUCAAAAAGAACUACUUUCAACUUUAAUUUAUAAUUUUCUUCAAUAACUUCAUUAUAUUUCAAGGCACCACAUUAAUGACAUCUGUCAAAUGUCAAAAAUUGAAUUUUUCAAUAUUAUUACUUAAAUUAUUGCAAAAAAAUUACAAAGGUGAGAUUAUAGUGUGGAAAAUCCUGAAUGAAUCAUUAUUCUGUAUAGAUUGCAACAUUUAAAAAGACAUGACUACUUGUUUUAUGUAAUUAGAUUGAUUGUGGUUAAAAUUACCAGUUUUAAAUUGUUAUAAUCGCUUUUUCUAUGUACUAAUUUUUGUUAGAUAAAAUUUCAAUAAAAAAUCGUGAUUUUUGA